AGUGAACGCUGGCGGCAGGCCUAACACAUGCAAGUCGAGCGGCAGCGCGGGGGCAACCCUGGCGGCGAGCGGCGGACGGGUGAGGAAUUCGUCGGAAUCUGCCUUUUUGUGGGGGAUAACGUAGGGAAACUUACGCUAAUACCGCAUACGUCCUACGGGAGAAAGUGGGGGACCGCAAGGCCUCACGCAGAAAGAUGAGCCGACGACCGAUUAGCUAGUUGGUGGGGUAAAGGCCCACCAAGGCGACGAUCGGUAGCUGGUCUGAGAGGAUGAUCAGCCACACUGGGACUGAGACACGGCCCAGACUCCUACGGGAGGCAGCAGUGGGGAAUAUUGGACAAUGGGCGCAAGCCUGAUCCAGCCAUGCCACGUGUGUGAAGAAGGCCUUCGGGUUGUAAAGCACUUUUGUCCGGAAAGAAAUCCCUGGAGCUAAUACCUUCGGGGGAUGACGGUACCGGAAGAAUAAGCACCGGCUAACUUCGUG
rnacentral:rRNA from 1 species